rnacentral:tRNA from 1 species
CUAAAAAUAGUUUAAUAAAAAUUCAGGUUUUGGGGAUUUGAGAUUGUUGGUGUAUAAAGACAUUUUUUGA